GGGGUUGUGGCUCAAUGGUAGAGCACUUACCUGGCAUGUGUGAGGCACUGGUUUAGAUCCUCAGCACCA
rnacentral:tRNA from 1 species